CCUACGGGGGGCAGCAGUGAGGAAUAUUGGUCAAUGGACGAGAGUCUGAACCAGCCAAGUAGCGUGAAGGAUGACUGCCCUACGGGUUGUAAACUUCUUUUAUAUGGGAAUAAAACGUUCCACGUGUGGGAUUUUGUAUGUACCAUAUGAAUAAGGAUCGGCUAACUCCGUGCCAGCAGCCGCGGUAAUACGGAGGAUCCGAGCGUUAUCCGGAUUUAUUGGGUUUAAAGGGAGCGUAGGUGGAUUGUUAAGUCAGUUGUGAAAGUUUGCGGCUCAACCGUAAAAUUGCAGUUGAAACUGGCAGUCUUGAGUACAGUAGAGGUGGGCGGAAUUCGUGGUGUAGCGGUGAAAUGCUUAGAUAUCACGAAGAACUCCGAUUGCGAAGGCAGUUCACUGGACUGCAACUGACACUGAGGCUCGAAAGUGUGGGUAUCAAACAGGAUUAGAUACCCCUGUAGUC
rnacentral:rRNA from 1 species